rnacentral:rRNA from 1 species
UUAAUAACGCCCCGUUUUUAUCGCAAGAUAACAAAUGGGUUCAAUACCCAAAACCGUGUCUACCUACCUUUGUUGCUUUGGCAGGCCGCCUUCGGGCGUCGGCUUCGGCUGACCAGCGCCUGCCAGAGGCCCAAAACUCUGUGUUUAGUGAUGUCUGAGUACUAUAAAAUAUUUAAAACUUUCAACAACGGAUCUCUUGGUUCUGGCAUCGAUGAAGAACGCAGCGAAAUGCGAUAAGUAAUGUGAAUUGCAGAAUUCAGUGAAUCAUCGAAUCUUUGAACGCACAUUGCGCCCCUUGGUAUUCCGAGGGGCAUGCCUGUUCGAGCGUCAUCAUAACCACUCAAGCCUAGCUUGGUAUUGGGGUUCGCGUGCUCGCGGCCCUUAAAAUCAGUGGCGGUGCCGUCUGGCUCUAAGCGUAGUAAUUCUCUCGCUAUAGAGUCCCGGCGGUUGCUUGCCAGAACCCCCCACAUUUAAGGUUGACCUCGGAUCAGGUAGGGAUACCCGCUGAACUUAAGCAUAUCAAUAAGCGGAGGAAAAGAAACCAACAGGGAUUGCCUCAGUAACGGCGAGUGAAGCGGCAACAGCUCAAAUUUGAAAUCUGGCUCUUUCAGGGUCCGAGUUGUAAUUUGUAGAAGAUGCUUUGGGGUGUGGCUCCGGUCUAAGUUCCUUGGAACAGGACGUCCAUAGAGGGUGAGAAUCCCGUACGUGACUGGGUG